GCCUUCGUGGUGUAAUGGUCAGCACACUCGACGCGUAUUCGAGAGGUCUGAGGUUCGAGUCCCGGCAACAGCA
rnacentral:tRNA from 1 species